GACGAACGCUGGCGGUAUGCUUAACACAUGCAAGUCGAACGAGACGAGAUGGAAGUGCUUGCACAGAAAUCUUAGAAAGUGGCGAACGGGUGAGUAACGCGUGGGUAACCUGCCCUAUGGAAAGGAAUAGCCUCGGGAAACUGGGAGUAAUGCCUUAUAAUACAUUGAAGUCGCAUGGCUUUGAUGUUAAACGCUCCGGUGCCAUAGGAUGGACCCG
rnacentral:rRNA from 1 species